rnacentral:pre_miRNA from 1 species
AGUAGAAUAGCUGGGUCAAAUGGUGGUUCCAUUCAGAGUUUUCCAAGAAAUCUCCAUACUACUUUCCAGAUUGGUUGCACAAAUUUGCAGUCCCACCAGCAAU